AAACCAAUGAUACAUUGUAUUAACAAACAAAUUACUCCUUCCGGACAGUGCGGUGUGACUUGUCGGCCUCCAUAACCAAUCGUUGUUUGCGUCUCUAACGAGAACAAGAACGCUGAAGUCCACGAGUCAACUUUCUCAAUACAUUCGAUGUCGUGGUAUUUCUUGCGGUAGCUGUAAAUUCCCCACCAGAUCGUUCCAAACACCAGCCAGCUAACUAUAAAAGACAGCGAGAAAAUGAGAAUAACGUAUCUCCACUGAGCUUCGAUUAAAGUUGUGAAGUGGUCUGAAAGAUAAUACAGUUGCCCACGAUCAGGUACGUUCACGUAAUUCACAUGAAUUCGUCCUCUCUUGUCCACCAAUCUUCGCCGUUUCAUCUUUCGUGAAAAUGCCCUUCCAUUGCGAUGUUUGGGGCCUUUUUCUUCCCUGAUUUGAAUACUAUCGAGUUCAAGUUCCAUCACAGCACGUUUUACUCUAGUCAGGACUCGACGGUAGUUUAUCGAACUGGACUGAAUUGCCGCGUGAUCUUCCACCUUGACACGUUCGUCGAACGAAGAGUUGAUAACAAAUUAAUUGCCGCAGAAGUUUAUAUCCUUUUGGCUUGUUUAUUACCGUCCAGUAUCAGCACAAGUACUAUUACCCGCUAAUACGAGCCAGGACGGAAAUCAAAUGGGAAAUGCGUGUGAAGAGACCCAUAUAAAUAUGGAACAGUUGACAGAAGAGAUAUGCUUCAUUAGGUCCGUCGGUACCUGUCAGGUAAAAUGUACAUUCAAAGUUUUGAUUGGUUUUUAAAAUGAGUGCUUCACGCGCUGCCGCCUUAAAACUCACAAUGGACCAACAUCUGCAUAAAAAUGCAGCUUUGAGCGUCGAUUAUUUAAAUCUUUAUAUGCCUAAUGACCACGAGAUUGAAAAGGUCAACAACGAGAAGACACGACAUUUGAGAACUGCGUAAUUUCCCAGCUGGCCCAAGUGGCUGUUGUGAACUUUUUUGACAGCCCUAAAUAACGAAAACAGAUCCUUCGUGGAAUAACAAAUUAAUGGUGUAGAAGAAAUGUACCUUAAGAUUUGUAUUGAGAGCCGAUCCAGGACACCAACCACUGAAUUCAAGGUGAACAAUGGAUGCUGAAAGUCGCGUCGGCGUGGCAAAAAACCCGUAAAAAGUAGAAACAAGAAUUACCUCAUAAGAUGAUCAUGUCAAAAAUGGAACAUCAAACUGCGCCGGCAAACUCUGACAAACAUUCUGGCCCCGGUUGUUCGAAGCAUGGUUACGCAAUCCAGUGGGUAAAUCUCUAUGCGGUGGAUGGCGCAGUAGUUAUUUAACAAUUAUCCGCUGGACAGUGAUUUAUCUGUUGGAUAGUGUAAUCUGGCCUUUAUACAACUGGACCUUGGACUCGUACACUCGCCGACUAAAUAGGAUAAAAUCCGUAAGGACUUGGAACGAGGAGUCUUUUACUGCACAGCUCAGAAAGGAGUCAGGAAAGGGAGACUUUUAAUGAAUAUUCAAAUAGACACAACUGUUAUAGGACACUUUCUUUAUUUACUCCCACACUGUCUCGGACCAAAGAAAAACAUUCUAAAGGAGGACCACAGUUUUUGUUCCCCAGCGUUGUAUAGCGCAAGUAACAUGGGUUAGGUGGAUAAUAAUUUAAGUUACAUCACUGACAAGAAUUCCCAUUAAAAGUGUAACACAACUAA